UCACACAAGGAUUGUUCACACAAACAUAUUCAUGUUUUUUACAACAUUUGAAUCAGGAAGCGGGAAAAAGCUAAAAUGGCGUCGACUGGGUACAUGCACCUACUGAACCAAAACUGGUCCUACAUCGAGCAUACCUUGUCUAGUUCUACCAAGAGCUCAAUAUUCUGAAAAAAAUUUUAAAAAAUCCCUUUUUGUACU